UAAUACGGAGGAUCCGAGCGUUAUCCGGAUUUAUUGGGUUUAAAGGGUGCGUAGGCGGCCUAUUAAGUCAGGGGUGAAAGACGGUAGCUUAACUAUCGCAGUGCCUUUGAUACUGAUGGGCUUGAAUGUACUUGAGGUAGGCGGAAUGUGACAAGUAGCGGUGAAAUGCAUAGAUAUGUCACAGAACACCAAUUGCGAAGGCAGCUUACUAAAGUAUGAUU
rnacentral:rRNA from 1 species